UUUUAACCUGGCGUGCUUUCAGUUUCUCAGCCCGAGCGGGCAAUUAUCUGGAGGAAAAUAGUUGAUUGCAUCAAUGAAAGGGUUUUCAUCUGGGUUUGCCAAGGCAUUUUUUUUUUACUAAUGUGAAUUAAUUAACUUUGCUAACGUUAAAGGCAGAAGAACAACUUUAUUAGGCUUAAUGGAAGGAUCAGGCUGUGCAAGUAAGAGAGGUUGGAUGGCAUCAUUCAAGAUGUGGCUGGAGGGAUCAGUAGCACUCACGCUGUUGGUGUCCAGAGAAGUUUGAAGUCUUAAAGAACAGUUGAAGAGAAAGUCAGAUUGAACCACAAGUGACCUGCCUCAGACAGAAACUAAGUUUUUUUUUCCAAAAAAAAAAAUUCACCACCAAGGAAGAGUUAGAGUGCAAUGUCUAAAUGGCCUAACGUCUAAAACCUGCAGUUUGAUGAUGCAAGAGGGAACAGAGAUUGAUUCUGCCUGCCGUGAAGUCUGGCUUGAUGGCUGGAAUAGGUCCUGAGAAGUGCUAUGCCUGCAACAUAAACCAAUAAACAUUUCUUUCAGUGGAUGCUAAAUCUCUGGGUGGAGCUGCAGAAUCCAGAAUGUCAUACACUGAGCAGAUCAUCUUCGGAACAAAUUUAAUGUACUCACUGGCUCAAGUCUAGAUAGGAAGAGCUAAAGAGCUCCAUAAGAGAAAAAGCUUCAGAUAAAUGUAGAAUGACCUGGCUCAAGUCUGUCUCGGAAGAACACAGAGUUGAUCCAAAGGGAUGACAUUGAGCUUUGUUCUGACUCUUCUACUCCACCGUUGUUCUUACAUGAGAAGCCGGAAGAGAGAAAAACUAAACUCAAAUUAUACGUAAGCAACAUUCUCUUUCCCGGCGUGGAAGUUAGAGGAAGGCAAAGCCAGGCCUGGCUUAUUACAUGAUCCCGAAGAUUCAGACUCAGGUCCUUAAACAUGAGCACCGCCUUUCGUUGUGCUUUCUAAUGAAGCAUCUCUUGCCAAGACAUUUGGAGAGGGAGAGGAGAAAGACGACUAGUUAAAGGACCAAAUGAAUGAGUGAGUACAAAAGAAGGAACCUAAGAGCAGCCUGGCUGAGUGUUCUGGGUCAGAGUUUCGCAUCAAAAAUGAGACAAGAUCACCAAGGCUGCUACAUUUAAAGACUUCGUUGGGCUGUUAAUGCCUUCUUAAAUCUGAAACAUGAUGUUAGCUAGAAAAUAAAGCCGUUUUUAAUUCUCUAUCUUUUUUAAUGUGUAACACAUCUGAUGGGCAGCUUGUAAAAUCCCAGAGGACGGAAUAAAAUCUAAAGAAGUGACAGAAUCAGUCAAAGCGACAUUAGUUUUUAAGAACGAACCAGCCCUGGAAAGAAAUAGCAGCUCAUAGCCAGGCAAGCCAGGGCAGCGUCUGCACAUUCCAGUGGGAGUUCUCGGGCAUCUAUAGCCAUGGGUAUCUCUGAAAGGAAGUGACCCCCGUGAGACCUACCCACCAAAAGCAACUGAUCUGCAAUGAGCAAAUGAUCUUGCUGCAGGGGCAAGGUGUAUGUCAAUUAUGUACUUCAGGAAGAGAAAAACCCUAUGUCCCCAGAAGAGGAGGAAGCUAGGUCAAGCACAGGCUUGCCUAGAAAUGGGAUGGGAACAGAAUAAGGACUUCAGGCUGAUUUAGAAGAGAGUGUUUCAAUAAGUCUAUGAAAUGCUCCUGACAUGAAAUGGAUUCCAAUGGGAGAGCUGCAGUGGCAUAACACCGGAAGAAAUUUAACAGAUGCUGGCACGAUCCUGAUCUUGGAGAGAUUAGUGAAGAAAAACUUGGUUCUUGAUUGGAGAAGGGAACUUGGCUCUAAUGUGUGAGAGUAGAUGACGUCAGCAAGAAGUACAGUGGCCAUCUAGUAGAAAAUGUGUUUGUAGUCCCUCUCUACAAAUGCGUGCUACAUGCAUUACAGCCACGCCCAUCCAUAGAACGCCAUCAUCUGACAGACGAUGAGACUCCUGAAAGAUGCUCACAGUUUUGCAGAUUAUAAACCUCCUAGUUGUGGACUCUGAAGCCCAAGCGCACCAUUUCUAUGCAAGACGCACAGGAAGGAGGGACCUUUAAGUAUUAAAUAUAUUGAGUAUAUGAGCAUGCACAUAUGUAUGUAAGUUUGUACUUAAAUGACAUUGUAUAGCUAUAAUGAACAGAUUAUCAUAAGCAAAUUGUCAGCUUGAUACUAAUGGUUUUUUUAAAUUAGAGGUAAUUAUUCACAAUGUUGACAUAUCUGUUUACUUAGUAAGCUCAAGCUAUUUAAAAUUAAUGUGUUUAUGUCAAGUAAGGGACAGGUUGUGGAAUCAUAUGCUUACCAUUGCAUCUAUGUUUGGACAAUGUGGAGUCUAAGGCAUGAAUGGCUCCAAACAGGAGACCUGACCACCAACCUUUGCUUUCUCUUCACAUGGUAUGACUGUGUGCUCUUCCAAACAAUGAUUUGUCUGUCACAGAGAAAGCUAUGGCAAAGAGAGAGAAGGGAAGAUAGAACAGUGAUGUCAGCUCCUUAACACAAGGCCCUUAAUACGCUGCUCUGAAUAAAUUAGGUCUUAAUUCAAGUUAAGCCAAUGGCCCACUGGCUUUCCUUACAAUCCCAACGUGCUGGACAUUUCAGGAUGACAAAGGACAGGACAGUUGAGAUGUAAACAUACAUGUAAUAUCCAUAUACAUGCAGAUUGAGUUAUUUACCAUGUCACAAAUUCUCAUAUAUAAUUUAUGUUUAAUUAUUUAUUUUUCUUUGAGUUUGUUUACAUAGUGGAUGAUGUUGAUAGGUUUCCAUGUAUUGAACCAUCCAUCCAUCCCUGGGAUGAAUCCUACUUCAUUAUGGUGAGUGAUCAUUUUGAUGUGUUCUUGGAUUCAUCUUGCAAGAAUUUCCUUGAGGGAAAUUGGUCUGAUGUUCUUUGUCUUUGCUGAGUCUUUGUAUAGUUUAGGUAUCAGGGUAACUGUAGCUUUAUAGAGUGUAUUGGGUAAUAUGGAAUAGUUGGAAGAGUAUUAGAUCUUCUUUGAAGGUCUGAUAGAAUUCUACAAUAAAAUCAUCUAGUCCUGGGCAUUUUUUGGUUGGGAGACUUUAUGACUGUUUCUAUUUCUUUAGGAGUUAUGGGAUUGUUCCGGUGGUUUAUCAGAUCCCGAUUUAACUUUGGUACCUGGUAUCUGUCUAUAAAAUUGUCCAUUUCAUCCAGAUUUUCCAGUUCUGUUGAGUAUGGGCUUUUGUAAUAGGAUCUGAUGAUUUUUUUUGGAUUUCCUCCAUUUCUGUUGUUAUAUCAUCCUUUUCAUUUCUGAUGUUGUUAAUUUGGAUACUGCCUCUGUACCCUCUGGUUAGUCUGGCUAAGUGUUUAUCUAUCUUGUUAAUUUUCUCAAUCAGCUCCUGGUUUUGUUGAUUCUUUGUAUAGUUCCUUUUGUUUCUGCUUGGUUGAUUUCAGCCCUGAAAUUGAUUAUUUCCUACCAUCUAUUCCUCUUGGGUGUAUUUGCUUCUUUUUUGUUUUAGAGUUUUCAGAUGUUCUGUUAAGCUGCUUCUGUAUGCUCUGUUCAAUUUCCUCAUGGAGGUACUCAGAGCUAUGAGUUCUGUCCCAUAUCUUUUGGUAUGUUGUACCUUCAUUUUCAUUAAAUUCCAAAGAGUCUUUAAUUUCUUUUUUCUUCCCUGACCAAGUUAUCAUUGAGUAGGGAGUCGUUCAGCUUCCAUAUGUAUGUGGGCUUUCUGUUGCUCUUGUUGUUUUUGAAGAUCAGCUUUAGUAUGCGGGGAUCUGAUAGAAUGCAUGGUAUUAUUUCAAUCUUCUUAUAUUGGUUGAGGCUUGUUUUGUGACUGAUUAUAUGGUCAGUUUUGGAGAAGGUACUAUGAGGUUCUGGGAAGAUGGUAUAUACCUUUGAUUUAGCGUGAAAAUUUCUGUAGAUAUAUGUUAAAUCUAUUUGGUUCACAACUUCUGUUAGCUUCACUGUGUCUCUGUUUUCUGUUUCCACUGGUGAGAGUAGGGUGUUAAAGUCUCCUACGAUUAUUGUGCUAGUUUCAAUGUGUGCUCUGAGCUUCACUAAUGUUUCUUUUACAAAUGUGGGUGCCCUUGCAUUUGGGACAUGGAUGUUCAAAAUUGGAAGUUCAUCUUCGUGGGUUUUUCCUUUGAUGAGUAUAUAUAUUGUCCUUCCCCAUCUUUUUACAUAGCUUUUGGUUGAAAGUCGAUUUUAUUGGAUACUAGAAUUACUAAUCCAGCUUUUUUCUUGGUACCAUUUGCUUGGAAUUUUUUUCUAGUCUUUUACUUUGAAGUAGUGUCUGUCUUUUUCACUGUGGUAUGUUUCCUGUAAUAGCAAAAUGCUAGUUCAUGUUUAUGUAUCCAGCCUGUCAAUGUAUGUUUUUUUUAUUGGGCAAUUGAGUUCAUUGAUAUUGACAGUUAUAAAGGACCAAUGAUUGUUGUUUCCUGUUAUUUUUGUUGUUAGAGGUGUAAUUAUGUCUGUAUGGUUCUCUUCUCUUGGUUUUAUUUGAGAAGAUAAGUUUCUUGCUUUUUCUUGGCUAUAGUUCCCCCUCCAACCCCGUGUUGGAGAUUUCCUUCCAUUAUCCUCUGUAUGGCUGAAUUGGUGGAAAGACAUUGUUUAAAUUUGGUUUUGUCAUGGAAUAUCUUGGUUUCUCCCUGUGGUAAUUGAGAAAUUUGUGUGCUGUUUCUGCUUUCUGAAUGUCACAGUGCCAUUCAUUUGUGAUCCAGGUAACACUAGGAACUAAGUUUCUCUCCUCUAAAGAUACUUCUCCACUGCCAUUCCAGAUCCCACUGAAACAUUCUCUAGCUCCCUUUUGGACCUAUCUGCUCCCUAUUGUUAAAGUCACUGGUGCACGCAUUGGAUUUGAUAUAGAACCACAUCACUUCUUAUAAGUUUAAAGGAUACCUACACAGGAACCUUCUGAAAUCUACUGAAUUAUACAAUGAAUUGAGCAUUUGGGAUAAGUUUUAUGUUUCAUGCAAAUCAUACUUCAAUAAAAUCCUUAUAGAAAUUAUUUUCUCCUAAACCACUUUUGUGUUGCUUUUUGAAACAAGGUAUUGCUAUAGGGCCUGGGCUAGCUUCAAACUCACUAUGUAGCCUAGGCUCAGCUCAAACUUUUACUGAUCCUCCUGCCUUAGCCUAGCCUCCCAAAGGCUAGGAAUAUAGGUGUUCACUACCCUGACUGACUACACCUGUUUUUCAAAUACAGUUAUCAGAAAACACAAAAUUACACAUGUGGCUGGUUAUACUUCUGUAAACACAGGGGUCCUAGUUCUGGAAAGGCGUUUUUUUUUUCUGGUUCAGAAGUGUUUCUUUAUUGAUACUGAAUUAUUGCCAAACAUGACAUAUUUUCCACAUCUGUGGGAAAACAUAACAACACUUGCUGAAAAUAUCCUAAUACAUCAUUUCACACAAUGAUCUAAAUAUAUCAUCUUCAGAGUUACGUGUAUUUAAGUUUUAAAUGUCAGGUAUGGAAAGGCGUUUUUUAUGGAGAAUAAAACUAAUGAAUAUCUUUUGGAGAAAAGUCUAUGCACUGGUGUCCUAGCUUUGUCCAUGUUAAGUAUUAACAUACAGAAGACAAUUUUCAGCCAAUUGCUUUUUAUGAAUUUGAAAAUAAUUAGUAGAAUAUGUUCAUAAAUUUUUUUCAAUGCUUAGAUUUCUAAAGUACAUUACAAUAACACAAAUUCUAAAGCUAGAAUUCUAAAGCUAGAGCUUGGUGAUUUUUCCCCAGUAAUCCCAGUACAUGGCAAGCUGAGGCAGGGGGAUUGUUAUAAGUUAGAGGUCAGCCUGGAUUAUUAUAGUAAAUGGAAAGACACUCUUGGCUAAAGGAUGAAAUUUUGGGGUAAAUAAGAUGGCUUAGACAGUAAUGGUGCUUGACACGAAGUUUGACACCUUGAGUUGGAUCCCUAAGACCUUCAUAAGGGAAGGAGAAAACUGACUCUUUUUGCCUUUAAAAAGGAAUUCAUGGAAAAUCAACUUACAUAGAAUUUGGAGAUGUUUUCUGAAUUACCUCCCAUCUGUGCUUCAUGAUCAGGGGCUUUGGUUGCCCUGUCAUAAAGUCACGAUGAAGUGCCAGUAUUGUCAGGACAGCCAAAGCUUGGGUCUGAGUUUUCUCUUCUACAAAAUAAUUCUUUAAGUCAUCUGAGUAGAACAGUUCCUAGAGAGAAUUACAGAUGAUAGGAACUUGAUGAAGACUAUUAAGAGUUAAUUUGUAUAGUUUUUGAAAAUAAUUUUCUCUGCUCUCACUUUUGAAACUAUAGGAGUAUGUGUCUGUGUGUAAACAUUUUCCUAUGGUAAUUGAAAAGGAUAUAUCUUGAUGUAUAAUUUAAUGAUAAGGUAUAGCAUUUCACAAUAUUCUAUGAAUAUGCAAAUCAUAUAAGAAGAUCUACAACUGAAAUAACUCACAGAAAAUAUCAUUAAAAUCAUACAAAUAGCAUGAAGUUCUAAAGUUGUGUAUUUCAUAGUGCACUAAUUAUUUUCAAUGAUAACUCAGAAUAGCAAUAUUAAUAAACUGAAUCAUCAUUUGCAUCAAAAAUAAUUCUUAAAAUGAACAGAAACAUAAAUGCUUAUGUUAUUGUCUGUAAUGAUGUUAAUAAUUUAUAUUAGUACAUUUGUAUUAUAUUUUAAAUAUUUUAUCUUUUAUGUGAAUACUAUACCACUCUUAGGCAUAUACACAAAAGAUGCCCCAACUUGUCACAGGAGCAUGUGUUCCACUAUGUUCAUAGCAACCUUAUUUGUGAUAGCCAGAAGUUGGAGACAACUCAGAUGUCCCACAACAAAAGAAUGGAUACAGAAAAUGUGGUUCAUUUACACAAUGGAAUACUACUUAGCUAUUAAGAAUGAGGACAUCAUGAAUUUUGCAGGCAAAUGGAUAGAACUAGAAAAUAUCAUCCUAAGUUUGUUAACUCAGACUCAAAGGGAUCUGCAUGGUAUGUACUCACUAAUACCUAGAUAUUAGCCAAAAAAGUACAGAAUAUGCAAGAUACAAUCCAUAGAACUCAAGGUUAACAGGCUGAAGGGUCCAAGAGAGGAUUCCUUAAUCCCACUUGGGAGGGAAAAGAAAGAAAUCAUGGGGCCAGAGGGAGUGAGAGUCCCUAGUGGGAGAGGGGACAGGGAGGGGAAAAGGAGAACAUGGCCAGGUAUUAGGGGGAGAAGGAAAUGGGACUGAAACCCUGAGGGCCAGCAGAAAGAAUGGAAACGGGCAACCUUGGGAGGUAGGAGGUGUGCGGACCCUCCAGAAUGUACCAGAGACCUGGAACACUAGAGACUCUUAGGACUCAAAGAGAGAGACCUUAUAUGAAAUGUCCUACAGUGAGGAGAGGGAACUUGUAGAGUCCACCUCCAGUAGAAAUACAGAAUUGUUUCUAUCUGAAAGAACUGUAGGGACAAAAAUGGAGAAGAGACUGAGUGAAAGGAGGUCCAGUGACAGACUCAAACUGGGAUGGGGGCGGGUAGGCUUCAAGGCCUGAACUAUUGCUGAGGCUAUGAUGUGCUUAUAGACAGGAUCCUGUCCUCUGAGAGACCCAACAAGCAGCUGAAAGAGUCAGAUGCAGAUAUUUACACCCAACCAAUGGGUGGAAGCUGUUGAUCCCUAUGGUUGAAUUAGGGAAAAGCUGGAAGAAACUGAGGAGGAGGGUGACCCUGUAAGCAGACCAGCAGUCUCAAGUAACCUGGACCCGUGAGGUCUCUCAGUCACUGAGCUACCAAGCAGGCAGCAUACACUAGCUGAUAGGAGCGCCCACUCCACUCCACCUCUGUCCCCCACACAUAUACAGCAGAGGACUGCCUGGUCUGUCCUCAGUUAGAGAAGAUGUACCUAAUCCUUGAGAGACUUGAGGGCCCAGAGAGUGGGGGGUUAUGGUGGGGUUGGGAUAGGGACAUCCUCUUGGAGAUGGGGGAGGAGGUAUAGGAUGAGGGCAGACUGUACUAUUAAAAAAAAGAUUAAACAUAAAAGUAAAAAAAUAAAAAAAAAUAAAAAAGGUUCAGGAAGGUACAGUGUGAAUUAGGGCACAAGAUGGGGUAGAUGAUGUCAUCAGGAGCAUGUGACCGGUGGGAGCGGUUACUAAGUUUCUGGGCAGGGAGUUAGACAUAGUGCAAUGGUGUCUUCCAGGAAGUUCUUCAUUGGGGGUCACUGGAAGAUCAACGGGAGGAAGAAGUGUCUGGGAUAACUCAUCUGCAUCCGGAAUGCAGCUGAGGUGCACGCAGACCCUGGGGUGGUUUGCGUAUUGCGGACCGCCUACACCGCCAGACACAAAGGAAUCCCUGAAGAGUUAAAUUUCAAAAAGUUAGUCAUAAACAAGGUCCGGACUACCUGAGGGAGACUAUAGGGCUUGCCCAACCAUUUGGAGCUAAAGAGUUAAAAUAAAAACUUCAUAAAAACUACAAAAGAACAGCAGAUAAGGGGACAGGACAGAGCUGGCCUGAGAUGUGCCCGGCCAAGCCUAAAAACAAGGUCGAGGGAUUGUUCCAGGAAGGGGGCCAUCCGGACGGAUGACUCCCUGCUCUACAGAUAAAGAUAAGACGUUCUCCUAUAUUGAGAACACCCCAGCCGCAUGUACUGCUUGCAGAUGAGACCUUGUACCCAUUUCCCUUGCUGAUAACCACACGAAACCCCCUGGCUUCUCCUAUAUAAACCCCUGCCUGAAGAGGCUCGGGGUCGAUUCCUCUGUCUCCUGUGUGAGAUACGUUUCGGUCCGGGAUCUCGUUAAUAAACGCUACCUCUUGCUGUUACAUCAAGACUGGCUACUCGCGUUUCUUGGGGGCACCCCAACCCGUGACUGGAGCGAGAGUCUCCCCAAGUUUGGGGGUCUUUCAUCCCAAAAUUGCUGUGGCUGUGCAGAACUGUUGCAAAGUGACCAGGGGGGCCUUCACGGGAGACAGCAGUCCUGGCAUAAUCAAAGACUUAGGAUCCAUGUAGGUAGUACCGGGGCACUAGGAAAGGAGACACAUCUUUGAGGAAUCAGACAAGUUGAUUGGGCAGCAAGUGAGUCAUGUCUUAGCAGAGAACGUUUGCCCUCAUUGGGGAGAAGUUAAGAUGAAAGGGAAGCUGGCAGCCCUGAGAAGACUGCGAGCAAUCCGAGAUCAUCAUCGCCGAUAACGGGCAGCCUACAAUUCUUAGGUAACCAAAUGAAUGUACUUGGUAUGCCAAAACUAUUGGCAUUGUUGACCAAGUGGAGAAGCAUCUAAGACGUAAAUGGAUCCAAAGUUUACGAGCAAAUGUUCUGGUUUUGCUGCAUCAGAAUUGAGUCUCAUAACUCUACCCAAACUGAGUGUGUUUUCUUUAUGAUUUGCACCACAGCUCAUCUGAGUGCUGCUAGACUCCCUUCCUUCUUCAGGGAUCUUCGACUAAGUAGAAGAGGAGAAAGCAGAGCAUGCUGGGAAAAACACGGGUUAGAAUCAGAAAAUGGCGAUCGUUUUGUAAGACUCUCAUUGGCUAGUGUUUCCGUUGGCCAUUUGUGUUAGUUGCUUUUCUUGGUGCUAUAACAAAAUGCCAGACAAAAUGGAAUUUAAGGAAAGAAGGGUUUAUUGUGGCUCACAGGUUUGAGGUUCCAGACUCUGGCCCACAUUUAGGAUGACUUUUCCCUUCCUCUUUAAUAAACACUUCCAGAAGCAGAUCAUAGACAGUGUGUUGCCAUGCUAUUCUCAAUCGGAUUAAACUGAGAGUGAAGAUGGGCUCUAUCCUGCCUCAGUAUUAUUGCUUCAGUCGAUAGACCAAGAACACAGUGGCAGACUUCAAAAUACUCUGGGGACCUGAGAGCAGGGAGAAUUCCUGCACCUUUCUGGAGAGGAGGAAAACGAAAGAGAUUCAGACAGAUACAACAGCACAUAUCAGGGGAAGGGGUUCAGAUGGAGAGUCUGACUUACCAUCACAGAGGAUUGGAACAGACAACGCCACGUCACAGAGGGACUGUUCACACAGUCCCUGAGGUGGAAGACUCUUUAACCAAGUGUCACAGGGUACAAGCAAGCCUCCUAGGAGCAAGCCGCUGGAUCCAUCAUGUGAAUGGUCCCAGGACAGACAGAGCUUCUAUCCUAAGGACCAAGCUGACUUUCUAUAGCAAGAUGUCAUCAGCGUCUUUUUGAAGGUCUAUUCUAUCGAUUCAUGUCUUCAGGCCUAGAUCCUGCAUUGAUAUAUGGAGAGAUGAAGUUGAUCCGAAUGUUGUCAGAGCAGGAGUUAAUGAAAUACUGCUCACACAGCACUUUCCAGAGGGCACUACACGCAGGUUUUCAUUGAUGCUUACCUAGAUUUCAUAAAUGAUUUAGUGCACAUAGAUAUGAGUGCACAUGGCCAUCUGUGACCCAAACAGUGAAAAUCUGGCUGGGAAAUUGUGAGGGACAUUCUGUGAACUUCAACUGAUGAGGGGAUGAUGCCGUGGUGUAGUCACAGGGAGGGUGUUUAUAGUCACUCACGUAACUAGACCGCCCUGUGCUUUGUGGGUUACAGAUUGUGGCUAGAGUUGACUGAAAAGCACCUGACACGAUUGUGAGUUCUGCAGAGGUAUAAUGUGAAGUUGACUUCGAUGACAUGUUUCCAAUACUGUUCCUAAUGAGAUGGCAAUGUGGAAUGUGAUCCAGGAGGCUCACACCUUUCCCUCAUAGCAAGGACUCUCCCAAGGACUUCACAUGUCCUCAUUGACAUGGACUGGCCAUUUCCUCACAAAACUGUGGCCUAGAUACAAGGCGGUAUAUUAGUACCAGGGCAUCCUGCAGCUCAAGUCUUCUUAGAUCACAGGUUUCUUUUUUGUUUAAGUUGCAAGAAAAUUGCUUAUGCCUGUAAAAUUGCUCUUUACAUAUGAGAAUAAAUGACCCACAUAAGUAACAUUUUGUGCUUAGAUAAGGGAGACUGUAGGCACAUUUCUUUGGGUAGGUUUGGCCUGGAAAGUAUACUUUAUAAUAACAAGGACCUGAGACUGAAAAUGUGAUUUUAUGACUCUUUUCAAUAUAUGUCAUCAAAAUGUAGGAAGGUUAUUUGUAGUGUAUUUUAGAAUGGUAAUUAUAAUAAAUAAGCAUAUUAGCACACUCUCUCAUAUAUUUUUUACUUAACACUGCUUGUGUUCCUGAGCUUUCUAUCCUGCAGAAAUAGAAGGAAAUCUUUAAUCGAUUUCCACUGGGCUUUCUCUCCAGUCACUUCACCCACCUAGCAAGAGACUCACUUUGAUGUUUUGUCCUUUAUCAGACCCUAGUUCAAAGAAAGUAAACAUUAGGAAAUUUUAAAUGUAAUACUGUUCCUACCCUGCUCCUAUCCUGGAAGGCUCGUAGACUUUUAAAAGAAAGGCAGGCUCUGUUGCCCAGAACUUUGUAUUGUAAAAGGACCAAUUUUACAGUAGUACCAUAUUGAAUAGCAGGCAAUAAGUCGAAUUGAAUUAGAAUCUUUAUUUGUUGGAAAAGGAACAGUCAGUGACUUGUUUCACCAGAUGCGCUGCAAUUUACUCUGUGUCUAUUGAGAUUCAAUGUAUAGACCCAGACCAAUUACUAAGAUUAUUCCGUCAUUUACAGCCUUCUCAUUGAGAAGAAGCUAAUGGCGACUGUGGAAUGAGGACUUGUUCUGCUUAAAACAACUUGAGCCCAUCUUUGUGAUAUAUAUUAAUACCAGGGCCUGCUGUUGGACUCCCUGGGAAGUUCUUUUCAAACUCACAAAGAAGCAUCCACCCCACCGAGCACGGGGGACUACAUGAAGCUUCUGAAACAUUUCAGAAAAGCUAAUAUGAGCGGGAAUGAAUGUUUUAAUUUGGGCCAUGAGCAUAAUCUACUCAGUUGGAUAUGUGGCAGGGAUAAGACAAAGCCAAGGUUGUACGAUCCAAUGAAAGAGUGGAGAACGGGGAGACACUGGAAGUCUUGCCAGGGAAAUUACUGUGGUAGAUCUGCAAGCUGAUCUCCAGACUUGGGCUGUUCAGAUGAACGUUGAUAAACUUCAGAGACACGUCUCCACUUUAUAGCUUUAUCUGAAACACCCCAAAUGCUGGCACUUCUCCCAUCCUGCUCUCUAGUUUUUCCUAAUGAGAGACUGUAAGAUUCAUGCUCUUCAUCACCACUGCAAACUUCUGGUGUUCAGUUGUGCAAUCGUUACAGAAAGCACAUGCCGCAUCGUUCUGUGCCCGUUAAAGUGAGAGACAAAUGA